rnacentral:tRNA from 1 species
GAGAGGUCCAGAAGACCUGCUAACUCUUUAAUUUUGUAAA